rnacentral:rRNA from 1 species
AGGAUGAACGCUAGCGGCAGGCCUAAUACAUGCAAGUCGAACGAUACCAGAGAGCUUGCUUUCUGGGAAAGUGGCGCACGGGUGCGUAACGCGUAUGCAACCUACCUUAAUCAGGGGGGAUAGCCUCUCGAAAGAGAGAUUAACACCGCAUAAAAUCACAGGCUGGCAUCAGCAAAUGAUCAAAUAUUUAUAGGAUUAAGAUGGCAUGCGUGACAUUAGUUAGUUGGUGAGGUAACGGCUCACCAAGACGAUGAUGUCUAGGGGAUCUGAGAGGAUCGACCCCCCACACGUGGUACUGAGACACGGACCAGGACUCCGUACGGGAGGCAGCAAGUAAGGAAUAGUUGGUACAAGUGGAGACAACGUCUAGAACCAGCCAGUCGCCGCGU